GUGACUGUGUGUGUGACAACGGAGAGGGGGAUAUGGCUGCUGGUGGUGAGGUUGUUGAUGACAGGGCUGUUUGGAGUGGCAGUAAGGUGGUUCGAUGGGGCUGUUCGUCGACUAUGCAUGGUCGAGACUGGGUGUGUGACGACAGGGAUGGGGCUAUGGAGACGAGGGUGGUCGUGGUCGUGCUGGUCGGAGGUGAGGUGGUGGGUGGCGAUGAGGAAAAGGAAGAGAGGGUGAUGUUUGUGGGGUGGUUUGAAGAAGAAGAAGAGAGUAUGGGGGUCUAAGGUGUGACGGCUAGAGAGAAUUUUUGGUCUUUAGGGUUUGG
rnacentral:lncRNA from 1 species